rnacentral:tRNA from 1 species
GGAGAGGUGUCCGAGUGGCUGAAGGAGCACGCUUGGAAAGCGUGUGUAUCUUAACCGGUACCCAGGGUUCGAAUCCCUGUCUCUCCGCUA